rnacentral:rRNA from 1 species
CCUACGGGCGGCAGCAGUGAGGAAUAUUGGUCAAUGGGCGAGAGUCUGAACCAGCCAAGUAGCGUGAAGGAUGACUGCCCUAUGGGUUGUAAACUUCUUUUAUAUGGGAAUAAAAUGUUCCACGUGUGGGAUUUUGUAUGUACCAUAUGAAUAAGGAUCGGCUAACUCCGUGCCAGCAGCCGCGGUAAUACGGAGGAUCCGAGCGUUAUCCGGAUUUAUUGGGUUUAAAGGGAGCGUAGGUGGAUUGUUAAGUCAGUUGUGAAAGUUUGCGGCUCAACCGUAAAAUUGCAGUUGAAACUGGCAGUCUUGAGUACAGUAGAGGUGGGCGGAAUUCGUGGUGUAGCGGUGAAAUGCUUAGAUAUCACGAAGAACUCCGAUUGCGAAGGCAGUUCACUGGACUGCAACUGACACUGAGGCUCGAAAGUGUGGGUAUCAAACAGGAUUAGAUACCCUAGUAGUC